rnacentral:rRNA from 1 species
CAGUAGCCGCGGUAAUGCGUAGGUGGCAAGCGUUGUCCGGAAUUAUUGGGCGUAAAGCGCGCGCAGGCGGAUCAGUUAGUCUGUCUUAAAAGUUCGGGGCUUAACCCCGUGAGGGGAUGGAAACUGCUGAUCUAGAGUAUCGGAGAGGAAAGUGGAAUUCCUAGUGUAGCGGUGAAAUGCGUAGAUAUUAGGAAGAACACCAGUGGCGAAGGCGACUUUCUGGACGAAAACUGACGCUGAGGCGCGAAAGCCAGGGGAGCGAACGGGAUUAGAUACCCGGGUAGUCCCUGUCUCUUAUACC